UUUUUUCAUUUCUGGUCUCAAAUCAGGUAGGAUCACCCGCUGAACUUAAGCAUAUCAUUAAGCGGAGGAAAAGAAACUAACAAGGAUUCCCCUAGUAACGGCGAGUGAAGAGGGAAGAGCUCAAAUUUGAAAGCUGGUACCUUCGGUAUCCGCGUUGUAACCUCGAGACACGUUUUCCGUGCGGCGCUAUGGACAAGUUCCUUGGAACAGGACAUCGUAGAGGGUGAAAAUCCCGUACUUGCCAUGGAUGUACCGUGCUUUGCGAUACGUGCUCUAAGAGUCGAGUUGUUUGGGAUUGCAGCUCAAAAUGGGUGGUAGACUCCAUCUAAAGCUAAAUAUCGGGGAGAGACCGAUAGCGAACAAGUACCGUGAGGGAAAGAUGAAAAGCACUUUGGAAAGAGAGUUAAAAGUACGUGAAAUUGUCGAAAGGGAAGCGCUUGAAGUCAGCCAUGCCGCUCAGGACUCAGCCUGGCUUUUGCUUGGUGUAUUUCCUGGGUAGCAAGUCAGCAUUGGUUUGGAUCGUCGGAGAAGCAUAGUCGGAAUGUGGCGCCCUCGGGCGUGUUAUAGCCUUCUAUUGGAUACGACGAUCUAGACCAAGGAACGCAGCGCGCCUUAUGGCGGGUCUUCGGACACCUUCGCGCUUAGGAUGCUGGCGUAAUGGCUUUAAGUGGCCCGUCUUGAAACACGGACCAAGGAGUCUAACAUAUGUGC
rnacentral:rRNA from 1 species